UGUAAUACGUAUUUACUGAUACAUUACACGAAGUAUUAUAUAUAUUUAUGUCAAUAGUAUAUAUUUAUUUUAAUAUUUAUGUUUAUUUCUUCUUAGGUUGCUAUGCAUUUCUUGGUCUUCAAUUUCGACGAGAUUUACGAGUAUUAGCGUCACGAAAAAAGAACUUAUCACGUCCUGAAUAGAUUAAUUGAUUAGAUCAGUCCGCCAGGAAACGAAAAAUCCGGCUUUGGGUUCAGGGACUCGCCUGAUUUAACGUACCGUAUUAUAAGAGACAUAUAUUCGAUGGAAAUGUUGUACGUAUUGACGUACAAUAUGACAAGAAAUUAUGCGAAAAGAAUUUUCAAACGCAUAACAAAUGGACAUGGUUUGUCACUUAUGAAAGAUUACUGACAAAGAUAAAAGCAGGAAUCAUGUCCCACCGCAUAAAUCAUCCAUAAACACAGUAUAUUAUGUCUAAUUACACGGGACGCUUACUCUUCUGUGAUCAUAGAUGCGGGAAAUAUUCGAGAUUGGUCCUAAUUUAUUAGAACACCCGGUACAUGACCGACCAGAUGUAGGCACGAAGAAUUGAAACGGUAAGAACAGCUGCGGGUCCAAACGCGAGCUGUUAUUGUUUUUGUGAGUCACGAGUGGCAAUAGCGGAAUGUCAACAGAAGUGUCGCUACUAUUCGACUGUAAACCAUUUUACGUCGUACUUUCGAAGCAACUGUGUGCUUGACAGCCUUUAAGAAGCGCGAUCAUUCCACGAAUUUAUUAUCGAUCGAUUCUAGUGUAAUUGCUAGGGAGUUAUUCCAUGAAAUGCAAAUCCUGCCCAAAGGAACUAUUGAUAGAGGAAAAAACAAUCUACUAACAU